CUCCCAUUAAGUAUUGCAACACUGUAUCUUUCGGUAGUUAAUAGAUGUUCAAGGUGGCCGCCGUUCGGCUACUGACCACGCAGUGGUCGGCCAUCUUGAAUCCUUAGUUAGCCCAGCGGUAUUUUGCCAUUGAGCGCCUGGAACUAAAAUCGGCUACUCGACGGCACAAAUACCGCUGGACUUCCAGGCCGUUCGGGAGCACCGGUCUUUCGGUAUUUUAGCCCUGAUGGUCUAUU